rnacentral:lncRNA from 1 species
CUACAGUGGGAGAAUGUUUUCCCAUCUGUACAAAGACCUAGAGAAGUCCUGCAGGCACUAAUAAACCAUGGCUGCAGAAGGAUCCGUGCUAGCGAGGUCCUCCAGGGAGACAGGCAGGGAGCAGAGCUGAGUUCCCCAGCCUGACUCUUUUAUUUUCCUUUUCGUUCUUCAAGUUCUUUACAAGGAACCAGCUUUUGACCAGUGAGAGAGGGGAAACAUCCCCAUGGUAUAAGGAAGAUUCUCAAGAUUUUUCAACAGAAGAUAAAGGAAAAAAGAGAUGGUGGGAAGCUGCGUCACACUGGGGAGGCUGAUGGAGAUCACUGGAUGAGCAGCUACUGAAAGGUGUGCCAGGACAGGAAACUGCAUUUGUUUUCCGCUGAGGGAGAAGCCUUUGAUGCACAGAGGUUGAUCAGACUGGGGAGUUUCUGCCAUUUCUGUGACGAGGCUGUGGGCACCUCUUGGCUGGCAGCUCCUGUACCGGUUGCUGCUGGGCACAGCGGGUGUCUGGAGAGGGCCUGGUGUAGCAACGAGGAGCACGUCCUGCUGCAUGUCCAUGGAAAUCUCUCUGAAGUUGAACCUAAUUUGGGUGAGUCGGGAUCAUCUUUCUGUCUCAGCUUCAUUUACGAAACAGCUGGGCUGCAGGGAGGUAAAUGUGGCAAAUGGAAACCUCAACUGCCCCAGCUGGAUU